AGGCUGGAGUGCAGUGGGGCGAUCUCGGCUCACUGCAACCUCUGCCUCCUGGGUUCAAGUGAUUCUCCUGCCUCAGCCUCCCAAGUAGCGGGGACUACAGGUGAGCACCACCAUGCCCGGCUAAUUUUUGUAUUUUUAGUAGAGACGGGGUUUCACUGUGUUAGCCAGGAUGGUCUCGAUCUCCUGACCUUGUGAUCCGCCCUCCUCGGCCUCCCAAAGUGCUGGGAUUACAGGCGUGAGCCACCGUGCCCAGCCCAGGCUGUGCUCUUUUAUGUCUAUGUUGUUUCCUUCACACUUACGUUUCUGUGAUUCAUCCACUAGCACUGCAAUGAAUGCUGCUGCACACGCUGUUGAGCUCGUGGACACUUUCCUGCUGGGUGAGGACCCGAACGUGAAAUUGCUGGGUCAUGGAUUCAAGUGCUACACAUAUUUUUGACCACAUUACUGUGACUCAGGAAGCCCAGGAACAGAAUUCUAGGCACCAGAACCAUACAUGUUACAGCCUCUGAGCUUUAUGGCCUCUGAGCCAUUUGUCCAGCCACAUCAUUUGCAGAUGAGAUCCUGAGACUCAGGCUGGAAAAGUGACCGGGGAAAAGUCACACAAGUCAGAGGCAGAGCUGGAGUUUCCUCAUUUCCAGGCCCGUAUAGAUCAAGACGGACGUUGGUCAAACACCUCCUAGUACUCACAUGAAGAAGCUCUCCUUUCUGCUGUAGGAAUGAUCACACACCAUUCCAAUCUGGAUACCAAAUGUCAUUGUUUAUUAAAUGUGUGCAGUGUGCCAGGCAUAUUGUGUCAUAUGUUUACAUGUGUCAUAUAUUUACAUUACAUAUGAUCGCUGGUUCUUACAACAACCCUUCAAGACAGGUCAUAUCAAGCCCAUUUUUCAGACGGGAAAAAGAGCUCAGAGGGGAUGAUUAGCUUGUUCAGGUUUUCCAGUUUCCUUAGGAAGUGGCAGAGCUGGAUCUGAACUCUGCUUGUGACUACUUGGGGGAUGGAGGAGUGAACUCCUUUUUAUCAGAUCCUGGCUGCUUCGGCACCAGAAGAAUGCUUCUUCCCCCUCAGGCCCUGGGGGGUUCCUCUAAAGAAUAGAGACUCCCGGCUUUCCAUGAGACAAAAAGCAGGCAAUUCAACACGGCAAGCCCUUAAUAUACCUGCACGUUUCUCUGUAAGGACUGAUUUAGAAAGCGGACUCACAGCCACUGCACUGAUAGCAGUUUCUAUUCUAAAACCUAUGGAAAUUGUGAACACUUGCCCCCAAAAACUCUCCCAGAAACCUUUAGGACAGUGAGGCUGUGUUCAGAAACUAAUUGCACCCAUAUCUGAGGAGCUACCACAUGAACUUCAUUAUUCACAGAA
rnacentral:lncRNA from 1 species